rnacentral:rRNA from 1 species
UACGGAGGGUGCGAGCGUUGUCCGGAAUCACUGGGCGUAAAGGGCGCGUGGGCGGCCUGAUAAGUAGGGGGUGAAAUCCCCAGGCUUAACCUGGGAACUGCAUCCGAUACUGGAUGGCUUGAAUCCGGGAGAGGGAUGCAGAAUUCCAGGUGUAGCGGUGAAAUGCGUAGAUAUCUGGAGGAAUACCGGUGGCGAAGGCGGCAUCCUGGACCGGCAUUGACGCUGAUGAGCGAAAGCUAGGGGAGCAAACGGG